GCGUCAUUAGCUCAGCUGGAUAGAGCGUCUGACUACGGAUCAGAAGGUCGGGGAUUCGAAUUCUCCAUGGCGCACCA
rnacentral:tRNA from 1 species